rnacentral:rRNA from 1 species
AUUGAACGCUGGCGGCAGGCCUAACACAUGCAAGUCGAGCGGAUGAAGGGAGCUUGCUCCUGGAUUCAGCGGCGGACGGGUGAGUAAUGCCUAGGAAUCUGCCUGGUAGUGGGGGAUAACGUCCGGAAACGGGCGCUAAUACCGCAUACGUCCUGAGGGAGAAAGUGGGGGAUCUUCGGACCUCACGCUAUCAGAUGUGCCUAGUUCGGAUUCGCUAGUUGGUGGGGUAAAGGCCUACCAAGGCGACGAUCCGUAACUGGUCUGAGAGGAUGAUCAGUCACACUGGAACAGAGACACGGUCCAGACACCUACGGGAGGCAGCAGUGGGGAAUAUUGGACAAUGGGCGAAAGCCUGAUCCAGCGAUGCCGCGUGUGUGAAGAAGGUCUUCGGAUUGUAAAGCACUUUAAGUUGGGAGGAAGGGCAGUAAGAUAAUACCUGGCUGUUUUGACGUUACCAACAGAAUAAGCACCGGCUAACUUCGUG